AGUGAAAAAAAAUUGGAAACACAAAAUUGUGGGAAAAAAAACAAGUUCUGUUCAAAAAUACGAAAUGGCAACAUUUUAAGUGGAAAAAACUGAGGAAAUAUAUUUUUAUAUCGCAAACUCAAUAAAAAAGACUCGGAGAUACUAAAAAAAAAAAUAUUGACAGCCAGUGUCAAGACGUUUUCACCACAAACAUGAAUGUUUUAAAUUUGCAUCCAUCAAUGUUUACUUUUAUGAAUCCAAUACAAAAACAAAGGAAUCAACAAUCCAAGGCAUUUUAAAGCAUAUUUUUUGCAGAACCUGUAACUAGCGCUACUAUUACUGCUGCACAUUGACGAUUGUAUUAUUUGAAUUUGAUU
rnacentral:sRNA from 1 species